AGUGGGGAAUAUUGGACAAUGGGCGAAAGCCUGAUCCAGCAAUGCCGCGUGAGUGAUGAAGGCCUUAGGGUUGUAAAGCUCUUUUACCCGGGAUGAUAAUGACAGUACCGGGAGAAUAAGCCCCGGCUAACUCCGUGCCAGCAGCCGCGGUAAUACGGAGGGGGCUAGCGUUGUUCGGAAUUACUGGGCGUAAAGCGCACGUAGGCGGCUUUGUAAGUCAGAGGUGAAAGCCCGGAGCUCAACUCCGGAAUUGCCUUUGAGACUGCAUCGCUUGAAUCCGGGAGAGGUGAGUGGAAUUCCGAGUGUAGAGGUGAAAUUCGUAGAUAUUCGGAAGAACACCAGUGGCGAAGGCGGCUCACUGGACCGGUAUUGACGCUGAGGUGCGAAAGCGUGGGGAGCAAA
rnacentral:rRNA from 1 species